GACGAACGCUGGCGGCGCGCCUAACACAUGCAAGUCGAACGGAGCUGAGAGGAGCUUGCUUUUCUUAGCUUAGUGGCGAACGGGUGAGUAACGCGUGAGUAACCUGCCCUGGAGUGGGGGACAACAGUUGGAAACGACUGCUAAUACCGCAUAAGCCCACGGAGCCGCAUGGCUUUGGGGGAAACGGAUUCGUUCGCUUCAGGAUGGACCCGGGUCCAAUUAGCUAGUUGGGGAGGUAACGGCCCACCAAGGCGACGAGUGGUAGCCGGACUGAGAGGUUGACCGGCCACAUUGGGACUGAGACACGGCCCAGACUCCAACGGGAGGCAGCAGUGGGGGAUAUUGCACAAUGGGGGAAACCCUGAUGCAGCGACGCCGCGUGGAGGAAGAAGGUUUUCGGAUUGUAAACUCCUGUCGUUAGGGACGAUAAUGACGGUACCUAACAAGAAAGCACCGGCUAACUACGUGCCAGCCGCCGCCGUAACAC
rnacentral:rRNA from 1 species